GGUAAACUGUGGACUCAGUGUAGGCUCAUCAUUGGUUUUUAAAAAUUGUUUCAAGUAGACAGGGAGCCCCUGUCUCUCUGUUCCAAAAUGGUCAGAGAUAGAACUCCUUCAGCUCUUCUUGAUUUCAUCCUGGAUUUACAUCAGCAGCUCUCCACCUUAUCAUUGAGUUCAUUGCUGAGUCUCUGAAGACAGAACAGUUCCUAGAAUAGACCAGAAAGACCACAGGACAGAGGACGGCCUUUGUCCCCAACAGAGCCAUACACAUAGAUGUCAUUCCCUCAGAAGAAUAAACGCAUUGAAGAGAGUAAAGACCCAGGGUUGGAGCCUGAGGGACACUGACAUUAAGGAAAAUGAAUCUAUAAAUAUUGAACAGGUCAAGUGGAGGAAUCCCCAAAUAGAAUACCCAUUACCAAUGUAAAAAAAGGAGAGUCCUUCCAGGAGGGAGUAGUCAACAGUGUCAUAUCCUGGAGAAGUAUUCGAUAACAUGACAAUGAAGAAUACUUAAAAAUCUAAUA